rnacentral:rRNA from 1 species
GUUGGGUAGGGGAGCGUUCUGUAAGCCUGCGAAGGUGUACUGUGAGGUAUGCUGGAGGUAUCAGAAGUGCGAAUGCUGACAUAAGUAACGAUAAUGCGGGUGAAAAACCCGCACGCCGGAAGACCAAGGGUUCCUGUCCAACGUUAAUCGGGGCAGGGUGAGUCGACCCCUAAGGCGAGGCUGAAAAGCGUAGUCGAUGGGAAACGGGUUAAUAUUCCCGUACUGGUGGUAACUGCGAUGGGGGAACGGAGAAGGCUAGGUUGUCCGGGCGACGGUCGUCCCGGUUCAAGCAGGUAGGCAGAGUGAUUAGGCAAAUCCGGUCACUUAAUGCUGAGAUGUGAUGACGAACCACUAAGGUGGUGAAGCAAUUGAUGCCCCGCUUCCAGGAAAAGCCUCUAAGCUUCAGGUUACCAACAAUCGUACCCCAAACCGACACAGGUGGUCAGGUAGAGAAUACUCAGGCGCUUGAGAGAACUCGGGUGAAGGAACUAGGCAAAAUGGUGCCGUAACUUCGGGAGAAGGCACGCUGGCGGUAGGUAAAGUCCCUCGCGGACAGAGCUGAAGCCAGUCGAAGAUACCAGCUGGCUGCAACUGUUUAUUAAAAACACAGCACUGUGCAAACACGAAAGUGGACGUAUACGGUGUGACGCCUGCCCGGUGCUGGAAGGUUAAUUGAUGGGGUCAGCCGCAAGGCGAAGCUCCUGAUCGAAGCCCCAGUAAACGGCGGCCGUAACUAUAACGGUCCUAAGGUAGCGAAAUUCCUUGUCGGGUAAGUUCCGACCUGCACGAAUGGCGUAAUGAUGGCCAGGCUGUCUCCACCCGAGACUCAGUGAAAUUGAACUCGCUGUGAAGAUGCAGUGUACCCGCGGCAAGACGGAAAGACCCCGUGAACCUUUACUAUAGCUUGACACUGAACAUUGAGCCUUGAUGUGUAGGAUAGGUGGGAGGCUUUGAAGUGUGGACGCCAGUCUGCAUGGAGCCAACCUUGAAAUACCACCCUUUAACGUUUGAUGUUCUAACCUAGGCCCAUAAACUGGGUCGGGGACCGUGUCUGGUGGGUAGUUUGACUGGGGCGGUCUCCUCCUAAAGAGUAACGGAGGAGCACGAAGGUUGGCUAAGCAUGGUCGGACAUCAUGCGGUUAGUGCAAAGGCAUAAGCCAGCUUGACUGCGAGAGUGACGGCUCGAGCAGGUACGAAAGUAGGUCUUAGUGAUCCGGUGGUUCUGAAUGGAAGGGCCAUCGCUCAACGGAUAAAAGGUACUCCGGGGAUAACAGGCUGAUACCGCCCAAGAGUUCAUAUCGACGGCGGUGUUUGGCACCUCGAUGUCGGCUCAUCACAUCCUGGGGCUGAAGUAGGUCCCAAGGGUAUGGCUGUUCGCCAUUUAAAGUGGUACGCGAGCUGGGUUUAGAACGUCGUGAGACAGUUCGGUCCCUAUCUGCCGUGGGCGUUGGAAGAUUGAGAGGGGUUGCUCCUAGUACGAGAGGACCGGAGUGAACGCACCACUGGUGUUCGGGUUGUCAUGCCAAUGGCAUUGCCCGGUAGCUAAGUGCGGAAGAGAUAACCGCUGAAAGCAUCUAAGCGGGAAACUUGCCUCGAGAUGAGUCUUCCCUGUCGCUUUAAGCGACCUAAAGGAACGUUUAAGACUAAGACGUUGAUAGGCUGGGUGUGUAAGCGUAGCGAUACGUUGAGCUAACCAGUACUAAUGAACCGUGAGGCUUAACCUG